rnacentral:rRNA from 1 species
UACGUAGGGUGCAGGCGUUAAUCGGAAUUACUGGGCGUAAAGCGUGCGCAGGCGGUUUCUUAAGUCAGAUGUGAAAGCCCCGGGCUUAACCUGGGAACUGCGUUUGAAACUGGGAGACUAGAGUGUGGCAGAGGGGGGUGGAAUUCCACGUGUAGCAGUGAAAUGCGUAGAUAUGUGGAGGAACACCGAUGGCGAAGGCAACCCCCUGGGCUAACACUGACGCUCAUGCACGAAAGCGUGGGGAGCAAACAGG